UAGGAACUUUGGAAUUAGGAGCGGGAGUAGGCAAUUCAGCAUUUUGAGCCUGCUCCACCAUUUAACAUGAUCAUAGCUGAUCUCAUCCUGGUCUCAACUCCACUUUACUAUCAGGCAAGGCAUCCCAGAAACCUGCGUUCCCAUGAUUGACAGGCUUGGAGAAUGGCAAAACAUGCAAAAAGACUUCAAGUGGUGGCUAUCUGCUGAAGUGGAGGAGAUGAACUUCCCAUGUUAUCUAUUUCUGUUAUGGCUUUUUCUUUGAAGUUUUCCUGACCCUUUACAGGAAUGACAUUCCAUGAGUUCCACACAGGACUUAGCCAGACAGAAGUGAAUUCACAUCCACGAUCUUUUUGUUUUUUGUCUGUUGUAGUCGUCUUAUUAAAAACAUGUUUUGGAACUAAA